rnacentral:rRNA from 1 species
UUGGAGGGCAAGUCUGGUGCCAGCAGCCGCGGUAAUUCCUGCUCCAAUAGCGUAUAUUAAAGUUGUUGCAGUUAAAAAGCUCGUAGUUGAAUUUCGGGGUUAGUAGGUUGGUCAUGCCACUGGUAUGUACUGGUCUCACUGAUUCCUCCUUCCUGAUGAACUGUAAUGCCAUUAAUUUGGUGUUGCAGGGAAUCUGGACUGUUACUUUGUAAAAAUUAGAGUGUUUAAAGCAGGCUAACGCCUGAAUACAUUAGCAUGGAAUAAUGAAAUAGGACGUUCGAUCCUAUUUUGUUGGUUUCUAGGAUUGACGUAAUGAUUAAUAGGGAUAGUUGGGGGCAUUAGUAUUCAAUUGUCAGAGGUGAAAUUCUUGGAUUUAUUGAAGACUAACUACUGCGAAAGCAUUUGCCAAGGAUGUUUUCAUUAAUCAAGAACGAAAGUUAGGGGAUCGAAGACGAUCAGAUACCGUCGUAGUCUUAACCAUAAACUAUGCCGACUAGGGAUCGGAUGAUGUUAAUUUUUUAAUGACUCAUUCGGCGCCUUACGGGAAAC